AAAAUUUUUCCUUUGUUGAAUUCUGUUUUCUCUCUCUCUUAUGAUUCAUUUUUGUUCAAAAACUCAUAUGGGGUUUUCUUGGUUUGUGAUAAACAGGGGAUAUGGGACUUAUAUCAUUGCCAUGGGCGAAAGGAGCAGAAAUCAAACUGGUCCAACUGAUUUUUGUCCCAAUGGACCUUCUAGUGUUAAGAACCCACAAUUAACAUGGCUCUAUGCUUUUAUCAUCACAGUGAGCUUUGUGGGACUUUUCUCUGUUGUUCCUCUGAGAAACAUCAUGAUUAUAGAUUACAAGCUUAUCUACCCCAGUGGGACUGCUACAGCAGUUCUUAUAAACAGCUUUCACACUCCCAAAGAUGAAAAGACAGCAAAGAAGCAAGUUAGAAGUCUUGGGAAGUACUUUACAAUCAGCUUCCUGUGGAGCUUCUUCAAAUGGUUCUACAGUGGUGAUGGGGACUGUGGGUUUGGCAAUUUCCCCAUCUUAGGCUUGAUAGCACAAGAGAAUGGGUUUUAUUAUGAUAUGAGCCUCACAUAUGUUGGAGCUGGAAUGAUUUGUACCCACCUAAUUAACAUCUCACUCUUGCUUGGUGGUAUAUUUCUUGGGGUCUAUUGUGGCCCCUUAUCAAAACAAAAGAGGGGGAUUGGUACCCAGCUGGUCUUAAGGAAAGAGAUGUAAAGGGCCUCUUUGGCUACAAGGUUUUCAUUGCCAUGGCACUAAUUCUUGGAGAUGGGGUUUACAACUUCCUCAAGGUAUUGGCAGUCACCAUCAUUGCCUUCUACAAACAACAAAAAACAGAAGCAAAUAGCACUUCAGAGGAGCCCCUACCCCCCCUUGAGGCCCGACUCAAUGAGUUCUUCAUGAAGGACCACGUACCUCUGUGGUUUGCCGCCUCAGGCUACACUGCGCUUGCUGCCAGCACCGUUGGCAUAAUCCCAAAGCUCUUCCCCUCUGCAAAAUGGUACUACGUCCUCAUCUCCUACCUCAUUGCCCCUGUUCUGGGGUUUUGCAAUGCAUAUGGUUGUGGCCUUACAGACUGCAGCCCGGCCUCCACGUAAGGAGUCCUCGGCCUCUUCAUUUUCUCAGCUUGGGACGGUCCAGAUGGUGGGGUCUUAGCUGGUCUCGCCCUUUGUGGGGUCAUGAUGAUCAUGGUGCAAACAGCCGCAGAACUAAUGCAAGAUUUCAAGACUGGGUACCUCACCCUAUCUUCACCGAGGUCCAUGUUCGCUAGCCAGAUCUUGGGAACCCUCAUGGGCUGCAUCUUCACUCCAUUGACCUUUUGGCUCUUCUGGGUGUCCUUUGAUGUGAGGAUCGCAAAGGAAUACCAAGCUCCAUAUGUUGUGAUUUAUAUAGAGAUGGCCCUUUUGCGGGUUGGUGGGGUCUCCUCUCUCCCUAAGCAUUGCCUCUCUCUGUGUUGUGCCUUCUUUGCUUUCUCUCUAUUAACAAACUUCAUCAAGGACUUGGUUCCAAAGAAGGUGUCCUUGUACAUUCCCUUACCCAUGGCCAUGGCCAUACCUUUCUAUAUAGGCCAGUCUUUCGCCAUCGACAUGGCAUUGGGUUCGUUGAUAAAUGCAGUAUGGGGCCGACUAAAUAAGAGAAAAGCCGAUCUCUUAGGCCCGGCUGUGGCAUCAGGAUUGAUAUGUGGAGAUAGGAUGUGGACUCUUCCAGCUGCUGUGCUCGCAUUGGCUCAAGUGAACCCACCAAUAUGCAUGGCCUUUUUUUCGCGAGGUCAAGCUGCGAAGCUCUCAAGUUAGCAGUGGGAAUGCACCCAUAUGUUUGAUGAUAUGAAUUUGCAGUCUAAGUUUGUAAUACUACCGCCAAGACCCCAUGUCAUUCUCAAGUUUGGUUGGUUUAAGGUAAGCGUAAAAAUAGUUUGAUAGUAUUGGUUGGUUCUAAUGGCAAUUUGAAGUGGGUGUGUUGUGUUUCUUAUACCUCAAGAGUUGGAUGUAAGAUAAGAGUGGGGGUUUUUAUCAGUGCUCU